GACGAACGCUGGCGGCGUGCUUAACACAUGCAAGUCGAACGGAAAGGCCCUGCUUUUGUGGGGUGCUCGAGUGCCGAACGGGUGAGUAACACGUGAGUAACCUGCCCUUGACUUUGGGAUAACUUCAGGAAACUGUGGCUAAUACCGGAUAGGAGCUCCUGCUGCAUGGUGGGGGUUGGAAAGUUUCGGCGGUUGGGGAUUGACUCGCGGCUUAUCAGCUUGUUGGUGGGGGAGUGGCUUACCAUGGCUUUGACGGGUAGCCGGCCUGAGAGGGUGACCGGCCACAGUGGGACUGGGAUACGGCCCAGACUCCUACGGGAGGCAGCAGUGGGGAAUAGUGCACAAUGGGCGGAAGCCUGAUGCAGCAACGCCGCGUGCGGGAUGACGGCCUUCGGGUUGGAAACCGCUUUCGCCUGUGACGAAGCGUGAGUGACGGUAAUGGGUAAAGAAGCACCGGCUAACUACGUG
rnacentral:rRNA from 1 species